GAGGAAAUUAGCAUAAGCUGCAUGUAUGUGGCUGUCAACACAUCAAAGAUGAAGAGGUUGGAAUAACAAAAAAUGAAGAGUUGUCCACUUGUUUUCUUGGGUAGGACUAGGAAGGUAACAGGGAAUUUCUACAACAAUUAUUCACACGAUUUGGCUCCAAGUCUCAAUUUUUAAAUGUAAUUUGAGAAUAUUGUUUUCGAAAACUGAUUUUAUUGAUACCUAUGAAAGCUAGGGAGAAAUUGUCACCCUUGCU